rnacentral:rRNA from 1 species
GAUGAACGCUGGCGGCGUGCCUAAUACAUGCAAGUCGAGCGAACAGAUGAGGAGCUUGCUCCUCUGACGUUAGCGGCGGACGGGUGAGUAACACGUGGAUAACCUACCUAUAAGACUGGGAUAACUUCGGGAAACCGGAGCUAAUACCGGAUAAUAUAUUGAACCGCAUGGUUCAAUAGUGAAAGACGGUUUUGCUGUCACUUAUAGAUGGAUCCGCGCCGCAUUAGCUAGUUGGUAAGGUAACGGCUUACCAAGGCAACGAUGCGUAGCCGACCUGAGAGGGUGAUCGGCCACACUGGAACUGAGAAACGGUCCAGACUCCUACGGGAGGCAGCAGUAGGGAAUCUUACGCAAUGGGCGAAAGCAUGACGGAGCAACGCCGCGUGAGUGAUGAAGGUCUUCGGAUCGUAAAACUCUGUUAUUAGGGAAGAACAAAUGUGUAAGUAACUAUGCACGUCUUGACGGUACCUAAUCAGAAAGCCACGGCUAACUACGUG